rnacentral:rRNA from 1 species
AACGAACGCUGGCGGCAUGCCUAACACAUGCAAGUCGAACGAGACCUUCGGGUCUAGUGGCGCACGGGUGCGUAACGCGUGGGAACCUGCCCUUAGGUUCGGAAUAACUCCCCGAAAGGGGUGCUAAUACCGGAUAAUGUCUUCGGACCAAAGAUUUAUCGCCUUUGGAUGGGCCCGCGUUGGAUUAGCUAGUUGGUAGGGUAAAAGCCUACCAAGGCGACGAUCCAUAGCUGGUCUGAGAGGAUGAUCAGCCACACUGGGACUGAGACACGGCCCAGACUCCUACGGAAGGCAGCAGUGGGGAAUAUUGGACGAUGGGAGAAAGCCUGAUCCAGCAAUGCCGCGUGAGUGAUGAAGGCCUUAGGGUUGUAAAGCUCUCUUACCCGGGAUGAUAAUGACAGUACCGGGAGAAUAAACUCCGGCUAACUCCGUG